rnacentral:rRNA from 1 species
UACGUAGGGUGCAAGCGUUGUCCGGAAUUAUUGGGCGUAAAGAGCUCGUAGGUGGCCUGUCGCGUCGGCUGUGAAAACCUGCAGCUUAACUGUGGGCGUGCGGUCGAUACGGGCAUGACUGGAGUUCGGCAGGGGAGACUGGAAUUCCUGGUGUAGCGGUGAAAUGCGCAGAUAUCAGGAGGAACACCGGUGGCGAAGGCGGGUCUCUGGGCCGAUACUGACGCUGAGGAGCGAAAGCGUGGGGAGCGAACAGG